rnacentral:misc_RNA from 1 species
GAUGAAGAACGUAGCGAAAUGCGAUAAGUAAUGCGAAUUGCAGAAUUCCAGUGAGUCAUCGAAUCUUUGAACGCACAUUGCGCCCUUUGGUAUUCCGAAGGCCAUGCCUGUUCGAGCGUCAUUAUCACCCCUCAAGCCCUCGGCUUGGUGUUGGACGGUUUGGUGGAGGCCCCCUCGGGGGCUCCUGCCCCUCCCAAAGACAAUGACGGCGGCCUCGUUGGACCCCCGGUACACUGAGUUCUUCACGGGACACGUAUCGGACACAUGGGUUUACGGGACACGGUCUGCCUCCCCUCAGGGAGAAUCUUUCUAAGGUUGACCUCGGAUCAGGUAGGGAUACCCGCUGAACUUAAGCAUAUCAAUAAGCGGAGGA